GUCCGCCGGCCAGUCCGGCGGACGAGAGGGAAUCCGGUGCGAAUCCGGAGCUGUCCCCGCAGCGGUAUGCCGUAACGACCACCGUCAACAGCACUGAGCCCGCAGGGCUUGGGAAGCGACGGUCAGUAGGAAUGCUCUUGUCGAGCAACGACGGCGAGCCCGAAGACCUGC
rnacentral:ncRNA from 2 species